rnacentral:sRNA from 1 species
CGUGAUGAAUAACUCCAAUCCUGAUCA